CAAGGUCUUUCGUCGUUGCGCGUUAGCGCAGUCGUUCUGAAGCUGGGGAAGGCAAGUUUGAUUGAGGAUUGGAGAGGAGAGGUGGAAUAAAAAGCUCGGGAUGGAUUUAGGAGUCUUUGUGCGAGCCAUGCAAAACUUUUUUUUUGUUUGAGAGAGCUCGAAAGGAAAAGAGGUAAGCUAAGAAUGAGAGACAAAUAGGAGAGCU
rnacentral:lncRNA from 1 species